rnacentral:lncRNA from 1 species
GUUGCGUGGUUACUCUCGUGCUGGCUGUGUGCUGGGGUUGGGGAGGCAGCCUGGCCUGGUGAGGGACCCCAGGUCCCUCCACCACCACCUCUUAGCUGGGGAGCAGGACUGACAUGGAGGAAGGAGGGACACUAGUCUCCUGGGGUUUGUAACUCGUUUAGGUCACUGUGGCUGCCGGGCCCUGCACAGCCCUCUCUCCUGCUGCUGGUCAGGGCGGGGUGCUGGCCUGGGGGUGGACCCAGAGUCUGCCGGCCUGAGCAGCAUCACAGUAGCCCCACCCUCAGACCUCUGACCACACCGCUCUCUCCUCCCCAGCAGCCCUGAGGGUCCCUAAUGCGCGUGGUGCUCACGCAGCCCCCUGGCGAGCGCUCAGCCUCACUCCACAGCAACGCUGUGAGGCUGGUGCCCUCGCAGUCCCCACCUCCAGAUGACGAAAUGGUGGCUGACGCGUACUGAGAAGUGGCUUCUGCGCUGUCCUCUGAAGGUCGUGCUCAGUGAUAUCUGUGUGAACAGAGGCACUGGGACAAGAGCCGGGUCUAGCCGUGUCCUCCACCCGGUCGCAGAGGGCCUUCUGAGCCCCCAUCCCUCCUUGGAGGCCUGUGGUCCCUUGAGCUUGGGUCCAGCCUUGUCAUGCCAGGGAGGUGGGAGGGAAUGAGGGGGUCUGAAAGACCGAAGCGUCGGCCACAGUGCUGUCUCCAAGCUCCUGGGUCAGGUUUUUCUGUGACCCCUUUUGCCCUUGUGGCUCAGGCCAGGAGACACUUGUGAUGGUCGAAGUUGCUUGGGCUCCUGC